ACCGGGAUUAGUUGGGUGCAGAGGACUCCGAAUAGUGACUUUGACGAUCGACAGCAAGUUAUUUGAUUUGUGGAUCCUCGGCUUAGCAAAAUUCAACGGAGCUCUCGUUUCAUUUUAAAUUCCUUAUUGUGUGUGAUUCUCUAUUUUUCUUCUUUCGUACAUUGCCGAUGAUACGCGAAGCUUGAUAAAUAGAGACUAGGUUCGACACUUCCAUUACUAUUAGUCGAACCAAUAUUAUCAAGAACCUACAAUCUCUGUUACAAUCUUAUGAAAGACGCUAAUCCUACGUUUGUGAGAAACGCUCGAAUCCUAAUAGCUGUCGAGUUACACCAACAUGGCGACAUUAAUACGGCGAAUCUAUCACGGUUAUCGUUACAUUAACGAAGAACUAGCAGAUCCGCGAACGCAAGACUACUUCCUCAUCGGUUCACCAUGGGGUUGCUUGAGUAUAGUAGCGUUUUACCUGUACUUCAUCCACGAAUUGGGACCUAACAUCAUGAAGAAUAGGAAACCUUUCGAUUUACACGUCGUCAUGCAGAUAUAUAAUCUGAUACAGAUAGUAUUAUGUUCAUACGUAUUCUAUAAGGCACUGGAUUUGGCCUGGCUGUACCACUAUAGUUUUUACUGCGAACCAGUGGACUAUUCCUAUACUCCUCGUGCGCUCGAGAUAUCUUGGGUCGUUUGGUUAUACUUCAUAGUGAAGCUCAUAGACCUGCUAGACACGGUUUUCUUUGUUCUUCGAAAAAAGGAAGAACAAAUAUCGUUCCUUCAUGUUUAUCAUCACACAGGCAUGGCCAUUGGCACGUGGGCAUGUACCAAGUUUUUGGCUGGAGGUCAUAUCACCUUUCUAGGUACUAUAAACUGUUUCGUCCACAUAGUAAUGUAUAGCUACUACCUGGCCACUUCGCUAAAAAUAAGCAAACCCUGGUGGAAGAAGUACGUGACACAACUUCAGAUCACUCAAUUCUGUCUAAUAUUGUUCCACUUUAUACUCUUGGUUUGGUCGGAGGACUGUGGUUUCCCCAAAUGGACCGCAACAGUGAUGAUACCACAGAAUUUCUUUAUGAUCGCUUUGUUCGGCGAUUUCUACUACAGGGUAUACAUCAAAAGGCAAAAAAGCAGCUCGAACGGUGUCACAACGGACAUUUCGAACGGGAAGUUAAAGAGUCAAUAGCAAUGUUCCACGUGUUAGAACCUCACACAUUUGGACAUCUCGCUCCCUUCCCGGCAUGUCCGCAAUAGAGGUUAUAUCAGCAUGAACAAUAAAAUAUGGUGGACCCGAUCGUAAUCUCCCUCUCUCAUAGACACAGGCGAUCAGGAUGUGAUGGAAAUUCCCAAUAAUCAUAUCACUCCUUUACGAUAUAAAAUUGAUGGGAACACAUAAAAUUCCCUUUAAACGCGUUCAUUGCUGUUGGAGCAUCCGGUGAAAGUCAUUCAAGUGGCUUUCAAAGCAUCCCCUCGUAGAUAAGACAGAUCAUGCGUAUCGAAACUCAGAAUCUUGUUGUUUUAACAUUAGAGCUACUGACCUGUAAUGUGCAUUUAAAUAUAGUAUGCAAGGAUAAUAAUAAUAACAAUAAUAAUAAUAACAAGCGGUAUAACAAAAAUAAAUAGAUAUAUUACGUUACCAUCUCAACAUAAGUCAACGAUAAUUUUAUCAAAAGUAACUGCAUACUUUAACUGGAAAAAAAAAUCUCAAAUCAAUGGUAGUUUUAAUGUUAAAAAUAGCGGAAUACUUAUUCUCUAUUUCAUCUUUGUAUUUAAGUUCACUAGUCAUCUCUCGCUACUUAUACACCUUUGCCAAACCAUGGCGAUUGCGAACACUAACGGAUACCUGCGUAUUUCAUGCGAUAAUCUACUGUGUUUUAAAGGUAAUAGAAAUAAGUGAAUGACGACGCAUAACGUUAGAGCGCUGGAAGCAAAUUCUUUCCUCUCGGAAGCGACAACCUAAUGACCACGAUGCGCGCGCGCGCGAGCGUUGUCACUAAUCGAUCACUUGUAAUCAAUCAGUGUUGUAAAUAAAUA
rnacentral:misc_RNA from 1 species